rnacentral:rRNA from 1 species
GCUUGUCUCAAAGAUUAAGCCAUGCAUGUCUAAGUAUAAACAAAUCUAUACUGUGAAACUGCGAAUGGCUCAUUAUAUCAGUUAUAGUUUAUUUGAUGGUUCUUACUACUUGGAUAACCGUAGUAAUUCUAGAGCUAAUACAUGCAUCAACCCCCGACUUUUGAAGGGGUGUAUUUAUUAGAUUAAAAACCAAUGCCCUCUGGGCUCUCUGGUGAUUCAUGAUAACUUCUCGAAUCGCAUGGCCUUGCGCCGGCGAUGGUUCAUUCAAAUUUCUUCCCUAUCAACUUUCGAUGUUUGGGUAGUGGCCAAACAUGGUUGCAACGGGUAACGGAGGGUUAGGGCUCGACCCCGGAGAAGGAGCCUGAGAAACGGCUACUACAUCCAAGGAAGGCAGCAGG